rnacentral:rRNA from 1 species
CAGCAGCCACGGUAAUACGAAGGGGGCUAGCGUUGUUCGGAUUUACUGGGCGUAAAGGGCGCGUAGGCGGACUGAUAAGUCAGGGGUGAAAUCCCAAGGCUCAACCUUGGAACUGCCUUUGAUACUGUUUGUCUUGAGUUCGAGAGAGGUAAGUGGAACUGCGAGUGUAGAGGUGAAAUUCGUAGAUAUUCGCAAGAACACCAGUGGCGAAGGCGGCUUACUGGCUCGAAACUGACGCUGAGGCGCGAAAGCGUGGGGAGCAAACAGGAUUAGAUACCCCUGUAGUCCCUGUCUCUUAUAA